AUUGAACGCUGGCGGCAGGCCUAGCACAUGCAAGUCGAGCGGAUGAAGGGAGCUUGCUCCUGGCUUCAGCGGCGGACGGGUGAGUAAUGCCUAGGAAUCUGCCUGGUAGUGGGGGAUAACGUCCGGAAACGGGCGCUAAUACCGCAUACGUCCUGAGGGAGAAAGUGGGGGAUCUUCGGACCUCACGCUAUCAGAUGAGCCUAGGUCGGAUUAGCUAGUUGGUGGGGUAAAGGCCUACCAAGGCGACGAUCCGUAACUGGUCUGAGAGGAUGAUCAGUCACACUGGAACUGAGACACGGUCCAGACUCCUACGGGAGGCAGCAGUGGGGAAUAUUGGACAAUGGGCGAAAGCCUGAUCCAGCCAUGCCGCGUGUGUGAAGAAGGUCUUCGGAUUGUAAAGCACUUUAAGUUGGGAGGAAGGGCAGUAAGUUAAUACCUUGCUGUUUUGACGUUACCAACAGAAUAAGCACCGGCUAACUUCGUG
rnacentral:rRNA from 1 species